rnacentral:RNase_P_RNA from 1 species
AGAGUUGGCUCGACGGUCGCUGCGCCCUUGCGGCGCGGAGGAAAGUCCGGGCUCCACAGGGCAGGGUGCCAGGUAACGCCUGGGGGGCGUGAGCCCACGGAAAGUGCCACAGAGAGCAGACCGCCGAUGGCCGGCUCGUGCGCGAUCCGGCACAGGCAAGGGUGAAAAGGUGCGGUAAGAGCGCACCGCGCGACCGGUAACGGCUCGCGGCACGGUAAACCCCACCCGGAGCAAGGCCAAAUAGGGGGGCCACGGCGUGGCCCGCGCCGCCCCCGGGUAGGCCGCUAGAGGCACGCGGUGACGCGUGCCCCAGAGGAAUGGCCGUCCUCGACAGAACCCGGCUUACAGGCCGACUCUUCAC